GGAGCAGCACUGUGCAAAAGUUGAGACUAUUCAACACUUCCUUAAUGACGAGGAUGACCACCGUUUGCCUACAGACUAUCCUCACGAAGUGAAGUCACUGGAGUUGACAAUGACCAUGUCCCUACUGCACAUCAGCAUCCCAUGGGCUACUCAUUCAAGCAUCACCACACACCUCCUAUUCCUCAGGCACUGACUCUGCAAGGUAACUGUUCUGCCUUGUGUUUUCCAUCACAACCCCUCUACCAGGAAGCUUUACCCACUGAUCAAAGUGGAACCACUGUUUGUAAUGCUCUCUUUCAAUACGUAUACAUCACCUCUAGAGAUCCCAUACUGGUCCCACCACUCUCACUGCUAUGGAAUGAAGAAGCAUCAUCCACCACUUAAAGCGCUGUUGCUUCCUUAGCAAAUCUGGCCAAUGCAUUUUACCUCUCAGGGCAUUCCUCAGUAAUAUAUAGAUAAGUCCCAAUGGGACAAUUGUGCAGAGCCAGCUCAUCCUGCACCCAACCCACUGAGCACCCAGACAAGCAGAUGCUCCUCCUGCACAGCCUGAAUUUCCCGUCUCCCUCUGCCUCUCAGCUGGAUCAUCACAGAACAGAGCUCUCCUCUUGUUUUGCUUUCAGAAGAGACUUGGAAAACUUAUCAUCUUGAGCACGCAUUGUUAUUUUGCUUUAAUUACACAGGCUGCCUUUUAUUUUGAACUCUGUUUGGCUUUUUUUCUGAUGGAUGUUUUAGUGCUCUCUGGGCAUUGGUACUCUUGUUUAUGAAACAGCCGGAGAGCUGUGGCUGGUGGGUGCCAUAAAAAUCAAAUGCAUUAUUAUUAUUGUUAUUGUUAUUAUGAUGACUUGCUGGCUAAGCAUACACAGCCUAGGAAUGAAAAACAUCUCUGUUAUGUCAGGAAUGGGGAGAAAACAAAUGCAGUCUUCAGCAUUGCAAGAAAAAAAUGGCAAUAAUAAGGCAAGCUCUGAUUUCAAAUAGACUCUCAAUUGGUUGUGAAAACAUGUGUAUUUAUUUAAGCCAGCAGUGUCACAGAUAACCAUCUAUUACAUGGUUAAUUUUCAAUGAAUAUGUUUCUAAUAAUCAGUUGAUAUAUAAACAUACAAUAACUGUCAUAUUAAACCUUGCAUCAGAUUUAUAAGAUAAGGAUUUUGCUGUGCUGCUAUUUCAAAUUCGUGGUGAUUAUCAAAACCAGCCCAACCCAAAGAUUAGUGUCUUUAUCACUCCCACACUGCUCUCGUUAAUUCUUAAUAAAUCUGCUUUCAAU
ensembl:lncRNA